AGUACACGGGGAACUUUUAAGAAGUACAAGAGCCGACAACGACCAAUUAAGAAGUAGUUUGACCAAAACCUUUCCCGAAUCUCUGCCAGGAAUGCUUCAUGGAUAAUAAACUGACCGUGAGCUACCAGAGUGUCUACGUGGGCGGCUGUAGGUCCCGACAGCAAUUUAACGGCGAUCCCAUGGCGUCCGUCGGCAAGAAGGAAACCCUGUACAUUUGUUCCAGUUGCUGUAGCAACGAGGACGAUUGCAAUCGACGUGUUUGUGACAUCCACGAAAACAAAUGCUUCUUACGCAACCAAUGAACGUCUUCUGAGAGCAAUCAACGCGGACGGGCGCAUUCACAUGGUGCCUUCCGAGGUCCGGGGCGUAUAUUUCCUGCGAUUUGCCGUCUUUGCAUCGCGAACGACUGAAAGUGACGUAUCGUUCGCGUGGGACGUCAUUCGGGAACUCACGGAGAGCGAACUAAAGGAUUCCGAUAAAAAAUAAAACAAUACUUUUGAUAUAGAACUUUAUUUUAUGCAUGGAUGUUUAUAGAGAAGUAUCAGUGAAUUAAAACUGACAAUUUACUUUAUCAAACAGUGACCAUUGACAGUGAAAAUUAUCGAUAUUGUUCACUGUUAUACUGUGAAAUGACGUCGUUUUCAUGACGUAACGAGGUCAUUAUUUCAAUAAAAAUACAAAAUAAUCAUUUGUAUGCAUACAAUAAAAUGAAAAUGUGUUGGAUUUGGUAGAAUAUCAAUUUUUAUUCACGAUUGAUCAUAGAGUUUUUUCUAUGACCGCGAACUCCAACAAAAAUCCUCUUUAUAAAUAAUAUUGAUUUGAAACUACAUAAUGAUACGUUUAUCGUAAACUUGUUAAAUAUUGGGAUUGCACGAUACAGGAUAAGUGUAAGCAAUAUUCUGUUGGCGAUUAAAACAAACCUUCGUGAUACCUUAUGGCUCAUUUAUAUAAAAUUUGACUUGAAAAUUUGUUAUACCGAUAAUACAUAAAAUGAAUAUGUUGCUAGUGACUACUUUAUAUACAUGUAUAAAUUAUGCAAUUGUUGUCCAAUAAUCAUCAGUACAAUAACGUUCAGUGUUAAAUAUCCAUUUUCUGUGCUAAACGGUUGAAAACGCGGCUAAAUCAUGUGAUGUAGUUUUAGUGGUAUUGUUUGUAUGCCCCCGGUAUGGUGGCAUAUAGCAGUUGAACUGUCCGUCCGUCUGCCUGUCAGUCAGUGCGUCCGUCCGAAAACUUACAUUGCCCAUAACUUUUGCAAUAUUAAAGAUAGCAAUUUAAUAUUUGGCAUGCAUGUGUAUCUCAAGAAGCUGAACAUUUUGAGUGGUGAAAGGUCAAGGUCAUCCUUCAAGGUCAAAGAUAUGGCUUCAAAGCGGCGCAGUAGGGGGCAUUGUGUUUCUUACAAAAACAUCCCUUGUUUCGGACUGAGUUGAGAAAACAACAAAACUACGUUGAAUUAAUAUAUAACAAAUAAUCAUGCAUGCAAUUAUAUAGCUGGUGAUGAAGAAAAUGUGCCAAUAAGUGAGCAUGCAACGUAAUUACGACCCGACAAAUUAAAAAAAAGAAAAGUUGAAAGUGACUUCUUUUUAAAGUUGUGUACACAUCUGUUUAGCAAAUAUUAGAUUUGUAUGUUAUGUUGUGAUAUAUGUAAUUUUCGUAUACUGUCUCUUUAAAUUUAUAAAACGUGAUUUAUUUGGUCCAUAUUUUUACUGGAGGAUGUAGACUUCAAAUAAACACGAUGCUACAAGUACAUGUUUAUAAGUUUGUGUCUGUUAUAGUUCAGAAUUUAUUGUAAUAACCAUGGGAAUUAUGUGUAAUAAAUAUUUAAUUGGUAAAUA